GCCGAGGGGCUGGAGCAGCCUUGGGGAUGGGGCGACGUGGGGAGCGGGCGGGAGAGGCUUCGCGUUCAGGCCCUCAGCUGAGAGGGUCACGAGAACGACCUGGCCCCGCAGAACGUGCCCGCCUGCUGGUAGAGGGCGUCACUCGGCGACCCGCCAGAGAAGGCCACUACGGGAAGAAUUAUCAGUUUAAAAUGCUGACGAAACGCAUCUCACAAGAAGAUGCCACUUUCUGCCAUGGUGUUCCCAAAAGACCUCAUCAAGGCUGCAUGGUAACAGUUUUCUGCUCGCCUUUCCAGCAUAGUG
ensembl:lncRNA